UACGUAGGGGGCUAGCGUUGUCCGGAAUCAUUGGGCGUAAAGAGCGUGUAGGCGGUCCGGUAAGUCCGCUGUGAAAGUCGGGGGCUCAACCCUGGGAUGCCGGUGGAUACUGUCGGGCUCGAGUCCGGAAGAGGCGAGUGGAAUUCCUGGUGUAGCGGUGAAAUGCGCAGAUAUCAGGAGGAACACCAAUGGCGAAGGCAGCUCGCUGGGACGUGACUGACGCUGAGACGCGAAAGCGUGGGGAGCAAACAGG
rnacentral:rRNA from 1 species